rnacentral:lncRNA from 1 species
AUUGACUUUGCAAAGGAAUAUAAUUUCUACUUCACACUAGAAUGUGUGUGUGUGUUUGGGGGGAGGGGGAAUCCAAGUGAGGCUAGCAGUUAGCCCCUCUCAAAAUGGAAGAAUAUGUUUACUAUACGCUGGUAAAAUUAUACUUUAGAAUCUGCACUCCACAUCUUCAUGCCAAAAUUGGGAGAAUCUACAUGGUAUUCUGUAGACCUGGGCUUUCUGUUGGCUUCUUGAUAUUCCUAACCCAGCAAAGAAUUCUCACUGAGAAAAGUGCCUCUACAUCAAUGAAUUAUGAGUGAUAUCUUUGAGAAGGCAGAAUACAUGUAAUUUGUA